CACGCCGCCGUUUUGACACGGCGGAAAAAAUAAUAUAACGUACGGGUGAGCGGAGUAUUGGUGGAAAAAAAAAAAAAAAAAACAAAAAGAGAGAACGCGAAAAAAAACACGACGAAAAACCGACCGAACGGCGGCGGCGGCGGCGUACGCGAAAACGAAAUAAAAACGUUGCUGCGCUGCGGAACAAUAAUUUUUAUUUAGCACACGUACAC